ACACAGCAGGGAAGUGGCCGAGCUAGGCUCAGGCUGAUCCCAGGUCUGUGUGGCCCACCGUACUGCCCAUGUUGAUCCAUUCUCCUGGGCUCUAUUGGGACAUGCAGGCGAAGGCUCAAGGAUGGAAAGUUGGCCCUCUUGGGGGCAGACGGAGGCCUUGGGACCAAAGUCCCUCCUGCAGCUGUCUCCACACAUACCUCUGCACAGGCAGGUUCCAGACAGCAGACCCGGCUACCUGGAGAGCUCCCCGCCAGCCGUGCACACAAGUCAGCCUUACCAGGAUAACAAGCUGUGAAGAUCUUAUCAGGCCCCUGAUGCUGAUGCUGAUGCUGAUGCUGAUGCUAGCGGGCUGUCCCCCUGCCCACCACAGCCUCAGCCUUCUCCCAGGCUGGGGAAUCCUGUUUUCUUUCCUAAGUGGAACAUCAGAUUACUCAGAUCCUCCCCGGUGUCUAACAGGACGGCUCAUCUCCAGCUACGGCCAGGGGGGCAAGGAGCUGGUGGGACUGGUAUUGAGAAUAGCAGCCAUGUGGAAAAUGGACUGAACACAGCAGAAGCCUGGGAAACAUGGCGGGGUGAGAAUCCCCCAGAAGAUGGAAAGGACAGCCAAUCCUUCCCAAGAAAUGCACAAUUCCCUCCAAAACAGAAACCACCCAUUGUGGCUAAGCCAGCAGCCUGGUGGGUUAUGUAGUGGACUGGCCCAGGGACAGAAAAACUGGGGCCAGUGAUACUGAGGAGGGGGAGGGGAAAGGAAGGAGGAGGUGUCCCAGCUAAGGGGUGACCAUCUCUCGCUGAGCAGGCACGCCCAGCCCAGCACUGGGAAGACCAUACUAUCAGGCACCAAGGUUAAGAGCAGGACCUCGGAAGCGACACACACUUGGGUUCAUGUCCUGGCUAUGACCCGAGGCAAGUGUUAUAUAUCUCUCAGAGCCUCAGUCUGUGAAAUGGGGAUAAUAAUAACACCUACGUUUCCUGAGAAUGCAACAAGAUAAUGUGUGUUCAAAGCAUUUAGCAUGCUGCUGGGCACACAGUGAGUGUGAGUGUCCAGUAAAGAGCAGUUGGAAUUACUUCUGCAUCCCCAGAGUCCUGGACUCCAG